CCCGACCAUUCAGCUCAGCAUCUCGGCCAGUAGUGCGGAAUAAAACUCUGAUUUUGUCUCCUUGCUUGUUAUGGCGCUCAACACUUAGCACGGCGCCAAGGGAAAUCAACCAAAGUACCCAGGCCUUGCCUGCUCAUUCAGCUGGUUUGUGGCUUACUCCUAUGAGAUAUCCUCAGGACCGGAGGAUUUGCAAGAGUCCAAGCGGGAAGUUGUGCUAAAGGGCAGACCUUUCAGGAGGUUGAGGACAGUUGAGCCACCAAUAGUGCGGCUUGUAUCCAGACAUUAAUAUGGGCAGAAAAGAAGACUGGGUGCAUAGCGUGGCGUCGCGUAUUGUGUGAUUUCGAAGAAAAACUGAAUUCUGCACUUGGAA